rnacentral:rRNA from 1 species
AGUCGAGCGGGCCUUUCGGGGUCAGCGGCGGACGGGUGAGUAACGCGUGGGAACGUGCCCUCUGGUUCGGAAUAACUCAGGGAAACUUGAGCUAAUACCGGAUACGCCCUUUUGGGGAAAGGCUUGCUGCCGGAGGAUCGGCCCGUGUCUGAUUAGCUAGUUGGUGAGGUAACGGCUCACCAAGGCGACGAUCAGUAGCUGGUCUGAGAGGAUGAUCAGCCACACUGGGACUGAGACACGGCCCAGACUCCUACGGGAGGCAGCAGUGGGGAAUAUUGGACAAUGGGCGCAAGCCUGAUCCAGCCAUGCCGCGUGAGUGAUGAAGGCCUUAGGGUUGUAAAGCUCUUUUAUCCGGGACGAUAAUGACGGUACCGGAGGAAUAAGCCCCGGCUAACUUCGUGCCAGCAGCCGCGGUAAUACGAAGGGGGCUAGCGUUGCUCGGAAUCACUGGGCGUAAAGGGCGCGUAGGCGGCGUUUUAAGUCGGGGGUGAAAGCCUGUGGCUCAACCACAGAAUGGCCUUCGAUACUGGGACGCUUGAGUAUGGUAGAGGUUGGUGGAACUGCGAGUGUAGAGGUGAAAUUCGUAGAUAUUCGCAAGAACACCGGUGGCGAAGGCGGCCAACUGGA